AGAUCUGCACAGGCACACCUCACCAAAGAAAGAAAAUAUACAGAAGGCAAAUAAGCAUAUGAAAAUAUGGUCAAUAUGAUUUGUCAUUAUGGAACUGCAAGUUUAAACAACAAUGACAUAUCACUACACAUGUAUUAUCCACAUAGGACAGGUGGAAUCCCAUAUAACCAAUUUGCUGCUCACUUGUGGUACCCACAAGGAACCAGCACCAUCAACGGAGCUCAGCACUGACUUCCAUGGUAAUGGCAGUUGUAUCAGCCUUGGGAAGGGAGUUAUUUCCAUGUGCAACCUCUAUCCUUCUGCCAAAGAACCCAUUGAGCAGGUCCUGGGGUGGAUAAGGAAAGAUGAUGACUACUGUUCAUAGCAGAAUCAUGUUCAUCAUCUGAUGCCUCCUCUACUUAUCUGGUGCCUCCUCUGAAAUGGAUAUCGUCACACUGGGUGUCCCUCCCAAGAAUCUGUCCACCCACUUCUUCCCCAGGUCUCUUUACUGCAAAUACUCUGAUUAUGCUAUUUCUAAGUCCCAAAACAAUUGAUCAAAUGAUUAACUACUGCUAUGGUCUGAAUGUGUCCCCCAAAGUUCACAUGAAAGAAAUUUAAUCCCCAACGCAAGUCUUGGGAAAGUGGGGCCUAAUGGGAGGUGUUUAGGGUGGAGCCCUCAUGAAUGGGCUAGUGCCCCUAUAAAAAGGGCAUGCAAGACUGGGCCUGUCUCUCUUCUGCUUUUCUUCCAUGUGAAGACAUGAUAUUUCUCUUCUCCUGAGGACACAGCACCUUGACGCUGUACAUCUCAGCCUCCAGAACGGGUGCACUGAUUUCAUAUUGUUCAAACACACAUGUUCUACAAUCAAUUUGUACAACAGUAUUCCUGAGGUGGUGUACUUUCGCAGCUUACGAAGACAACAGGAUUAAGAGAUUAAAUUGUGGAUUGCAAGGGAACUCUUCAAUCAACUCUCUACAUGUGGAUCUCCAUCUGUUUCUUGGGAAACCAAACCCAAUACAUGAGGCUAUCUUCAGCUGUCUUUACAUAUUUAAGAGUAAGACAUUAAAGAACUAAACAGAAAGUUUGUCAAUAUGUUGAAACAUUAAUUAACUUUUAAGAUUCAUUCUAGAAGUAUUGGAAGAGGAGUCAACUCUUUCUUUGCGGAAUGCUCAAAUAUUGGGAUAUGAAAGCCUAUUCUGACAAGCCAUUGGAUUAA